CUGGGACUCGCUGGGCUCGGACGCAGCGUUAGACUCGCUGGGCUCAGAAGCAGCGUUAGACUCGCUGGGCUCGGA